rnacentral:misc_RNA from 1 species
AUCCCAGUCGCUCUCGAGGGUGAGGCUGUAGCCGAGGAGAAGUCCUGUCGGCCGCGCCCCCUUGGCGGCGAGGUCGGACAGGUUCACGGCGAGAAGCUUCCAGGCGACAUCCUCAGCCGGGUCGCCCGAGAGGAAGUGCACCCCCUCGACGAUCAUGUCGUGCGUCAGGACCAACGUCCUCCCCCCGAACGGCAGCACCGCGGUAUCGUCGAGCAGGCCCCGCGCGCCCGGAUCGGUUGCGAGCGCGCGCAGAGCGGAGAUGAAGUCCGGUUCGUCCAUCAGCCCUCCCCCUCGAUGGGGGAGGGUUGGGUGGGGGUGGCGGCGGUGUAGGCCGGUGCUUCAUCGAAGGCUCCACCCCGCCCCCACCCCUUGCCAUCAAGGAGAGGGGCUUUACCCAGCGCUUCGUUGAUGCGCUGCCAGAUGCCGUCGGGAUUGCCGAGUACCGCGU